AGAGUUUGAUCAUGGCUCAGGACGAACGCUGGCGGCGUGCCUAACACAUGCAAGUCGAGCGAAUGAAGUUCCUUCGGGAACGGAUUUAGCGGCGGACGGGUGAGUAACACGUGGGCAACCUGCCUCAUAGAGGGGAAUAGCCUUCCGAAAGGGAGAUUAAUACCGCAUAAGAUUGUAGUGCCGCAUGGUACAGCAAUUAAAGGAGCAAUCCGCUAUGAGAUGGGCCCGCGGCGCAUUAGCUAGUUGGUGAGGUAACGGCUCACCAAGGCGACGAUGCGUAGCCGACCUGAGAGGGUGAUCGGCCACAUUGGGACUGAGACACGGCCCAGACUCCUACGGGAGGCAGCAGUGGGGAAUAUUGCACAAUGGGGGAAACCCUGAUGCAGCAACGCCGCGUGAGUGAUGACGGCCUUCGGGUUGUAAAGCUCUGUCUUCAGGGGACGAUAAUGACGGUACCUGAGGAGGAAGCCACGGGCUAACUACGUGCCAGCAGCCGCGGUAAUACGUAGGUGGCGAGCGUUGUUCCGGAUUUUACUGGGCGUUAAAGGGAAGCGUAGGCGGAUUUUUUAAGUGAGAUGUGGAAAUUACUUCGGGGCUU
rnacentral:rRNA from 1 species